UGGCUGUCCCUCCCAUGUACACUGAUCUUGACAAAUGUACCAGGGAUGUCUUCACCAAGCGGUAUAGAUUAGGAUUAAUAAAGCUUCAUUUGAAAACAAAAUAUGGGAAUAGACUGGAUGUUACAAGCUCAGGCUCAGCCAAUCCUGAGGCCAUCAAAGUGACAGGUAGUCUGGAAACCAAGAACAGAUGGAUCAAAUGUGGCCUGACAUUUACAGAGAAGUGGAACACUGACAAGACAUUAGGUGCAGAGUUACUGGAGAAGAUGAGCUUUUUACAUGGACUAAAGUUGACCUGUGAUUCAGCCUCCUCACCUAACACUGGGGGCAAAAUGCUAAAAUCAAGACAGGGUACAAGUGAGAGUACAUCAACCUGGGCUGCAACGUGGAUUUUGACAUCUCCAGGACUUUCAUCCAAGGUGCUCUCAUGCUGAGUUACAAGGACUGGCUGGCUGGAUACCAAAUACAUUUUGAGAUCAAAGAGUCCCAGGUGACCUAAAAUGACUUUUUGUGGUUGGCUUCAAGACUGAUGAAUUCCAGCAUCACACUAAUAUAAAUGACAGUGUUUGGCACCUCCACUUACCAGAAGGUGAGCAAGACUUUGGAGAUCACUGUCAAUCAUGCAUGGACAUUAGGAAACAAUAACACUUGCUUUGGAACAGCAGCCAAGUAGCACAUAGAUCCUGACAGCUUCUUCUCAGCUAAAGUGAACAACUCCCAUGAGAGGAUUAGGAUACAUUCAGACUCCAAGGCAGUUAUCGAACUAAUUCUGUGAGUCCUGAGAGAUGACAAAAACGUCAGUGCUGGUCUAAAACGAGCUUGGUCUAAGACUGGAUUUUUUUUU
rnacentral:lncRNA from 1 species